ACACAGCUGAAAGCUUUCCAGAUCUUCCUCUUCUGCUGUGGUCUCUUACAUGGAACCACAGGCAGAAGGUCUGGAUGAGACCAGCUGCCCCAGGCUUUUCUGAACCAUGGUUCACUGGUAUCCUCUUCCUUACCUCACCUACCAUAAAUCCACCUGAAACCUGUUGAUUUAACUUACUAGCUAGUAGUUCCUUGGGUAGCUGCUACCUCCUGCCUUGUGCUAUGCCGUGGAGUAAGUUCACACACUUCAUCUUCUGCAUGGGAGCUGCUUACCUACAUCAAUUGUAAAGCCUAAGAAGGUUUCUGCACCAAUGGCAGCUCCACUGAUCUACAGAGUUUGGGCUGUAAUAUAUACUUUUAAUUAGAGAAGCUUGAUCCUGGCUGCCUACCAGAAGCUGUCAAUGUCCUAUUAGCACAUACGUGCCUGUUCCUCUGAAAUCCUCCAGCAAAGCAUGGCAGCCAGGUGACAGCAGUCUUCCCCCAAAAUGUUUGGAAAGGAACAGAGAACCAAAGUCUUAUUUCAUCGUUUCUAACAACUGGGAUUCAGAGCUCAGCUUUUGGUAACUGAAACAAGCCAUAAGAUCAACCACCAACAGUGACACAACAGGAAUCCUCAUCUAGCAAAAGCAACUCUUCCAAGUCAUUUAGUUGCACCAAAUUUCCAAUGUGCUCUCCCAAAAUACUGUGCUUGUGAUGAAAAGUAAUUACUUCUGGAUGUUUUACCUAUACAUCUUUGCACUAUUCCCAGCAUCUGAGCUGCAGUAAGGUUCAGUGAGAGACAUGCACUGUAAGGGCAACAGACAUAUCCAAACCCCACUGUCUGCUCCCACGGGAAAGAGACCAUGAAUUCACUGCAAAGACACAAAUUUCUGUAAAUGGAUGUGAUGGAAUUAAGAGGGGGUGCCAAAAGAAGCCUCUAGGAAAGGAGGGCUUCAGCUCUCCUCCUCUGCCUCCACCAGCAGCUGGUUUAGAAAACAGAACAUUUCUUUUUCCUGAUAACAGCUGUGACAAAGUGUAGAUUUAUCCAAGGCAGAUUUAACUAGCUAUAUACAGCACCAGUGCUGGUGUAGCACUGGCAACACAAUGCUCAGCAAAACACCUUUUUACCUGCUAUUUACUCAGCUGAUCAGUUUGGGGUGAGUAUUUCAGUCAGCCCUGAUCUCUGUGCUGCUGCAGGUGUACAGCUAGCAGAAAUGAAGUAGUUAGUCUAAAGUGCUCACAUAUAUAUCUCUAGGUGAUGGCCAUGUGGACAUAUCCUUAACUAUUUCUUCAGUGCAAGAACGUAAGGACGUCAAGACUCUAUUACACCCCAGAUGAUGCUAUACAAUGAGUCAUAUUGCAAAUGCACAUGCUGAAAACAACGAAAAAGAUUACUGACCUAGCACAAAGAGUGCUGCUAUUAAGUGAAGACACUGUGCUUAUACAGCCUUAUCUCUGUCCCUUUUAUCUGACUGCACAUUUAUUCUUCCUAUCACAGCACAUCCAUAUUAUUUAGGUCUGCUGCUCCUUCCUUCUUCUCGGGCUAUUCUUAAAAUCCCCACUCUUGUUUAUUUUUCAUCUCCACAUUUUGACCUCAAAACACCAUUCUACAUGCUCAUGCUGCUGGUUGCAAAUUGAAGCAAACUAUUUAACCAUGAUAUUUGGCGUGCAUUAUUUGUUUCUAGAAAUUUAUGUAAAAAGCUAUCAAUGUACACGCUGUCAAACAGGCAAGUGGUAUCCCAGGGGCUCAAUUUAUGAAACGUUAAAUAAGAUCUUAAAAGGCUGAGAUAUAUCGUGAUAUAGCACAAACAAGUUACAUGCCAGCCAUUUUUGUUGUGCAACAAAUUGUUGUUCAGCUGGGAUAAAAAUAUUUCUGCUAAAAAUCUUUGCACUGUAUAUUUUAAACUGAAGAC